AUGUUGAUUCACCAUGCAAGUACGCUGCCGACAAGGCAAUUCUCCUACGAUCAGUUAAAGGAAAUUACGGAUGGUUUCUCCGAGGAGCACUUACUCGGUAGCGGCGGAUAUGGAAGAGUUUACAAGGGAUUUCUCAAAGAUGGGGAAGAAAUUGCCGUGAAGUUGCUCUAUGAGAUGCCUACACUUGAUGAUGUGCAGUUUAUGAGGGAGUUUAACAAUCUGACGAGUCUUCAACACGUUAAUAUUGUGCGGUUAGUCGGCUAUUGCCAUGAAACUCGGCCAGAGUGCGCAGAGUACGAAGGAAGAACGGUUGUUGCUGACAGGAUACACAGGGCGCUCUGUUUCGACUAUGCCCACAAUGGGAGCCUUCACGAUCAUAUUUCUGAUGAAUUUAAUGGACAUGAUUGGCGCACACGUUAUGGAAUAAUUAAGGGGAUUUGCAAUGGUUUGAAAUACCUGCAUCAGGACCUAAAUUCUCCUAUAUAUCAUCUGGAUCUAAAACCAGCCAAUGUAUUGCUGGAUAAGAAUAUGUUACCAAAGAUAGCUGAUUUUGGCCUGUCAAGGCUGUUUGGAGAAGAACAAACAAAAAUCACAAAUACUUCAUUCGGAACGCGCGGUUAUUUACCACCAGAAUACAUAGAGCAGAAAGUAAUCUCAAACAAGUUCGACAUAUACAGCUUGGGUGUUGUUAUCAUAAAGGUAAUGGCUGGACCUGAGGGCCAAUCCAAAUGUGCUACCAUGUCUUCCAAGGAAUUCGUUGAACUUGUACAGGGAAAUUGGAGGGCUAGGUUAGAAGCACCCCCAAUCCAUGAGCCAGGGCUAGAGGCAUAUUGUGUACAAGUAAAGACGUGCAUUGAAAUAGCCUUAAAGUGUGUGCAGGCAGAUCGGCGCAAAAGGCCGAGUAUAAAUGAUAUCAUUGAUAAGAUGAAUCAGACAGAGAAUAUGAUUCGAUUAUGGUCCCUCAACGUAUAUUUAAAGAGGCCAUAUUUUGCUCCUGAUAUAUCCGGCCUUACGAGAUUCGAGUACAAUGAUUUGGCCGUCAUGACAGACGGAUUCUCCAAACAUCUUGGAUUGGGUGCCUUUGGCAUGGUAUAUAAAGGGAGCUACAAAGACUUGAAUGGCUAUCAAGAAGUGGCUGUGAAGGAAAUAAAGAAUACUACUGAAGGAGAAGUUCAUGACUUUAUCGCUGAACUCCAGAGAAUUGGUCGAAUGAGGCUACACACAAAUCUAAUUGAGCUGAAAGGCUGGUGCUGCAGAAGAAACGCAUGGAACUUGGUUGAUUUUAUUUCUUGUUGUAGGCAACAAAGGGUUCAAUUCUUUCUUGUCUUUGAAUUUGUUCCUAAUGCCAACCUAGAGGAUCACCUACACGACAGGAAGAAAAUUCUACCAUGGCAAAAGAGGUACCAAAUAAUUAAGGGCAUAGGGUCUGCACUUCAUCAUCUUCACCACGAAUGCAAUAGAACCAUCUUGCAUGGAGAUAUCAAGCCAAGCAGUGUACUACUGGAUUUUGAUUUCAACGCCAAGCUCGGUGUCGGGCUAUCUAGGACAGCCAGUAAAAACAAUAGAAUACUAGUGGCGACUGAUACUGGGACAGAGGGGAACAUGGACCCACGUAAGUCCGACAUCUACAACUUUGGAUUCGUUCUACUAGAGAUAGCAUGCACAGGCAAGUCUAGACAGCAAGUAUGGAAGCUAUAUAGAGAGGAACCCGAGGUGAUGGAGUAUGCCGCUGACCACAGAUUAGGUGGCAUCUUCGACAAGUCGCAGAUGAAGCGUGUGAUUGUCCUGGGCCUCAGGUGCUCUCACCCAGAUGGGAGACACCGUCCUUUCAUGACAGAUGCAAUGAAAUUCUUGGAGGAUGGCAUAGAGUUGCCUCCUAUAUUGGAAAUAGAGGAACAACAAGGUUCAACAUUCUUGGGCAUUCAUUCGGCUGAGUUUUCUCAUAUAACCAUCGACAUCUUGCCCCUAGGGGACGGCAUAGAGUUGCCUCCUAUAUUGGAAAUAGAGGAACAACAAGGUUCAAGAUUCCUGGGCAUUGAGUCCGUUAAUUUUUCUAAUAUAAACACCGCCAUGUAUCUCGAAGGAGAGAAUUUUUCGAUAAGAGGAAGCAUCAGCUGGCUUAAAGUUGUAAGAGGAGGAGCCCGCUUGUGGUGGAGGUUGUAUUGUUGUGUAACUAGAAGGCUGGGGAUUUGGGAGCGAUAUACUGUUGUAGACAGCUAUCUCCCAGCUGUGUAA
rnacentral:rRNA from 1 species